CAUAAGGCGGUGGGGUGUGUUACUAGGCAUAUAUAGAGUGAGAAACAAAAUGCGUUAAAUGAAGUAUUAUUUUCUGGAGAUGGGUAGAAAGGAAUCCAUAGGAAGAUGGAUGAGAUAGAUAUACGAGGAGUAUGGUUCAAAACACAGGGUGAUUGAAGAAGAUCAAAACAAGUAGCAUGAAUUUAAAUAAUAAUAUAGUUUCAAUUCAAUUUAUUUCUUAUGGACGCUUUCAAAAAAAGAUGCAUUUUGACAUGGAGCCUUUUGAUGGAUUUGGUACUGUAUCGUCUCACUCGCUUUUUUGUUUAGCUUACUA